rnacentral:rRNA from 1 species
GCUUCGCGUGCUAUACAUGCAGUCGAGCGAACAGAUGAGAAGCUUGCUUCUCUGAUGUUAGCGGCGGACGGGUGAGUAACACGUGGGUAACCUACCUAUAAGACUGGGAUAACUCCGGGAAACCGGGGCUAAUACCGGAUAAUAUUUUGAACCGCAUGGUUCAAUAUUGAAAGACGGUUUCGACUGUCACUUAUAGAUGGACCCGCGCCGUAUUAGCUAGUUGGUAAGGUAAUGGCUUACCAAGGCAACGAUACGUAGCCGACCUGAGAGGGUGAUCGGCCACACUGGAACUGAGACACGGUCCAGACUCCUACGGGAGGCAGCAGUAGGGAAUCUUCCGCAAUGGGCGAAAGCCUGACGGAGCAACGCCGCGUGAGUGAUGAAGGUCUUAGGAUCGUAAAACUCUGUUGUUAGGGAAGAACAAAUUUGUUAGUAACUGAACAAGUCUUGACGGUACCUAACCAGAAAGCCACGGCUAACUACGUGCCAGCAGCCGCGGUAAUACGUAGGUGGCAAGCGUUAUCCGGAAUUAUUGGGCGUAAAGCGCGCGUAGGCGGUUUCUUAAGUCUGAUGUGAAAGCCCACGGCUCAACCCCGUGGAGGGUCAUUGGAAACUGGGGAACUUGAGUGCAGAAGAGGAGAGUGGAAUUCCAUGUGUAGCGGUGAAAUGCGCAGAGAUAUGGAGGAACACCAGUGGCGAAGGCGGCUCUCUGGUCUGUAACUGACGCUGAUGUGCGAAAGCGUGGGGAUCAAACAGGAUUAGAUACCCUGGUAGUCCACGCCGUAAACGAUGAGUGCUAAGUGUUAGGGGGUUUCCGCCCCUUAGUGCUGCAGCUAACGCAUUAAGCACUCCGCCUGGGGAGUACGACCGCAAGGUUGAAACUCAAAGGAAUUGACGGGGACCCGCACAAGCGGUGGAGCAUGUGGUUUAAUUCGAAGCAACGCGAAGAACCUUACCAAAUCUUGACAUCCUUUGAUCGCUCUAGAGAUAGAGUUUUCCCCUUCGGGGGACAAAGUGACAGGUGGUGCAUGGUUGUCGUCAGCUCGUGUCGUGAGAUGUUGGGUUAAGUCCCGCAACGAGCGCAACCCUUAAGCUUAGUUGCCAUCAUUAAGUUGGGCACUCUAGGUUGACUGCCGGUGACAAACCGGAGGAAGGUGGGGAUGACGUCAAAUCAUCAUGCCCCUUAUGAUUUGGGCUACACACGUGCUACAAUGGAUAAUACAAAGGGCAGCGAACCCGCGAGGUCAAGCAAAUCCCAUAAAAUUAUUCUCAGUUCGGAUUGUAGUCUGCAACUCGACUACAUGAAGCUGGAAUCGCUAGUAAUCGUAGAUCAGCAUGCUACGGUGAAUACGUUCCCGGGUCUUGUACACACCGCCCGUCACACCACGAGAGUUUGUAACACCCGAAGCCGGUGGAGUAACCUUUUAUUAGAGCUAGCCGUCGAAGUGACAGG